rnacentral:rRNA from 1 species
CAGUAGCCGCGGGAAUACGUAGGUGGCAAGCGUUAUCCGGAAUUAUUGGGCGUAAAGCGCGCGUAGGCGGUUUUUUAAGUCUGAUGUGAAAGCCCACGGCUCAACCGUGGAGGGUCAUUGGAAACUGGAAAACUUGAGUGCAGAAGAGGAAAGUGGAAUUCCAUGUGUAGCGGUGAAAUGCGCAGAGAUAUGGAGGAACACCAGUGGCGAAGGCGGCUUUCUGGUCUGUAACUGACGCUGAUGUGCGAAAGCGUGGGGAUCAAACAGGAUUAGAUACCCGUGUAGUCCCUGUCUCUUAUAC